rnacentral:miRNA from 1 species
ACAACUCCAGGAGACACUGCUCAUGUCCAGUACAAGGCGAAUGGUUCUCCCUGGAGCUGUGC